CUAACACGAGUCCUUGAUUUUUUCAAAUUUGGGCCAAUGAUUCGGAGCUGGUGCAUGCGAUAUGAAGCAAAGCACAGUUACUUUAAAAGAUUGGCUUCAUACCUUAGAAACUUCACUAAUGUUGCACUUAGCCUUGCUGAAUGACAUCAAACCAGAAGUUGCUAUCUAAGAAAUCAACCCAUUGCAAAAAAGCCUCAAAUUGAUUCUGCAAAAGAAAUUGUUGCUAAGGAUAGUGAACAUUAUUAUUUGCUCAAAGAGAAGGAACCUAACUUAAGUGACAUUAGUAUUUUGUCAAGGUAAAGUACACAUAGUGAUUAUUUUUAUUACAGAAGAUGGUGACUAUUGCGAGAAAAAAUUGCUAGUACUUUAUAAAAUGAAACCAUGGCUGAAAUCUGACUCUUAGACAAUUUUAAAUCCAACCCAGAUCCAUUAUGCGCUUAAUUUGCGUCUUAGUAAGCAUAAGCAUGUCAGGGCCGUCAAGGUCUUUUUUGGUAAGUCGUAUAGUCAGUGCGGUUCCUUCUCUGACUGCCUUUGCCAGGUUAUUUUUCUGAGCCGUUGAAAGUGUAACACCGUGAACUGUGUAGUUAUUACGUCCACCACCUUUAGCAGCUGCGCCACUUUUCCUAACUACACCACUACCAGCAACUGCUUUUUGCGUGCUGCCGGUGAUAGCACCUGAUAUAGCUGCUAGGCCUAGGGACUGUAACACUUUUGGUAUGAGUUUAGUGACCGUAGGUAUGAGUUUUCCAAUAGGAUUUCCAAUAAAGCUACUUCCUUCUAUACUCUUUACCCAGGAAGAUAAAUACCAGCGCCUUUAAAUUCUUGAGUGAUUCCUCGCUCCAUGGCGGGUCUGAGAGCUUCAACAAAUAUUGCGUUAUUAAUGUCCGACAUUUUUGUGCACAUGCAAAACAAUUUGCGUAUAUAAA